UUGCGUGCGAUCGUAUGUUCGCUCCCUGCCCCCCAUUUCUUCCUCAGUUUGGACGACAAACAGACCGACCACCUCCCUGUACAAGCAAUUUAACACCUGCUGAAGAAUUCAUGGCUUAUCUGCAUAGAAAGACAGAGUUCAGCAGCGUUUAGACAAAAAAAUACUGCAUUGAGAGUGAAGUUCCAUGGCCAGACUUAAGGUGGCAGCAGCGAAUAGAUCAUCAGUCAACUCCUCAUCAGUCAUCAAGUCCCCUUAGAUUGGUAAAAUGUGAAUUUUUAUGCGUGUGAACCAAAACAGACCAGGCACUGGAUAAGAUGAAUGGAGAAGGACUUCAAGUUAUAUUAAAGGCAUAGUUCACCC